rnacentral:pre_miRNA from 1 species
UUAACUCAAAUUUGAAUGCAGUUGGAACAGCACCCCUAGCGCCAAACGUAGGCAAACGUUCCAACUCCAUACAAAUUUGAGUUA